GUCUUCGUGGCGCAGUUGGCUAGCGCGUCAGUCUCAUAUUCUCCAUAAAUAUGAUCCAAAUCACCAGUUUGGGCCAUCUGAAGGUCGUGAGUUCGAGCCUCACCGAGGACA
rfam:Trichoderma gamsii strain T6085 Scaffolds0005.1, whole genome shotgun sequence.